AUUGAACGCUGGCGGAAUGCUUUACACAUGCAAGUCGAACAGCAGCAUAGGUGCCUGCACCUGAUGGCGAGUGGCGAACGGGUGAGUAAUACAUCGGAACGUGCCCAGUCGUGGGGGAUAACGUAGCGGAAGUUACGCUAAUACCGCAUACGAUCUACGGAUGAAAGCGGGGGACCGUAAGGCCUCGCGCGAUUGGAGCGGCCGAUGUCAGAUUAGGUAGUUGGUGGGGUAAAGGCCCACCAAGCCAACGAUCUGUAGCUGGUCUGAGAGGACGACCAGCCACACUGGGACUGAGACACGGCCCAGACUCCGACGGGAGGCAGCAGUGGGGAAUUUUGGACAAUGGGCGCAAGCCUGAUCCAGCCAUUCCGCGUGCAGGAUGAAGGCCUUCGGGUUGUAAACUGCUUUUGUACGGAACGAAAAGCUCUGGGUUAAUACCCCGGGUCAUGACGGUACCGUAAGAAUAAGCACCGGCUAACUACGUGCCAGCAGCAGCCGCCG
rnacentral:rRNA from 1 species